rnacentral:rRNA from 1 species
UACGUAGGUGGCAAGCGUUGUCCGGAAUUACUGGGUGUAAAGCGCGUGUAGGCGGGAGGCCAAGUCUGCUGUGAAAUCGCCCGGCUCAACUGGGCGGGGUCGGUGGAAACUGGUCACCUGGAGGACGGUAGAGGCGAGUGGAAUUCCCGGUGUAGUGGUGAAAUGCGUAGAGAUCGGGAGGAACACCAGUGGCGAAGGCGGCUCGCUGGGCCGGACCUGACGCUGGGACGCGAAGGCGUGGGGAGCGAACGGG